AUGAAGCUGGAAUCGCUAGUAAUCGCGAAUCAGAAUGUCGCGGUGAAUACGUUCCCGGGUCUUGUACACACCGCCCGUCACACCAUGGGAGUCAGUAACGCCCGAAGCCGGUGACCCAACCAAUUCAGGAGGGAGCCGUCGAAGGUGGGACCGAUAACUGGGGUGAAGUCGUAACAAGGUAUC
rnacentral:rRNA from 1 species